UACAGAUUGGCUCAGUGAUUAUGAUCCGACAAUCACUGAUUAUAGUACCAGUUCAGUGGAAAAAUGCAUGCGUAUUGGAUAAUUUCAUUUCUGUGGAACAGUUCAUGCUUAAUCAGUUUUCUACUUGGGAGUUGGGAGGAGAUACUUGAACUUGCAAAGUUUACGAACUAAUGUUCUCACUAGAGACUCAAAGUAUCUACCUUUUCUUAAAGUUGCCAAGCCAUCUACAUCGGUAAAUGACCUAACUGUUUAGGCAGACGAGAACGACAAGAUUGGAACUCUGCUAAUGUUUUGUGUGGUGUGCAUUUAUUAAUACAGUCUACAAAUUUUUUUAAACGGUUUAUAUCCGUUCCCUUUGUAGUUGUUUCUUGGGAACUAUAUUUACACAAGGACAAAAGUUUGCAUGGUUGUUGUAUUUUGUUCACACUAUUCCAAAUAAUGUUUUACAUUUUUACACACGAAGGGUGGUUUUGCACGCUGCUUAUCUGAGUAAGUAUUCUUGCUUAGUCCAUCUGAUAACAUGAUGAAAUUGCCCUCAUUGUUAACACUUUAUCGCCGAACAGAAUUUUAUCACAUGAGGUGCGAAUUUAGUGGCUUUAUUUCUGUACCUGCGAUAAGGAUAUAUCAUAUACAAUGCAUUAAUACAGUGAAAAAAUUAAGUAGUUUUGAAGGUGAUUUUUUUCUUGGUCUGCAGCUGAAAGAAAAGAAAGCAAGACAAGUAAAGAAUAAAACAGUUGUUAAAAUUCCAGAACUAAUCUGAAUGCUCUGCUGAACGAGAGGUCAGUGUUUUCUAAAAAAAACAGAGUUUAGCGGUAAAACUAAUGGACACUAAAAGAUUUUUCCUAUUUUGUCCUCCUUAGUUCUCCAUGCAAUUCCAUAAGGCUAGCUACAUAUCUGACAAUAGAAUUAUUUGCAUAUCGAAUCUUUGAUGGUGACAGUUUUGAAAUUCAACUCUUUGAGGGUAAAUCUUUGCUUGCUCUCUAUCUGAAUUCAAAUAAUACAGAAAAUAAGUACAGCAGAGACAACCAACUGUUAGUCAUAUUGGAACAGUAAUAUGAUUGCUCUGCUACACGACUAGAAAGAAAACACACAAAGAAACCGAUGGAAAGUGAAAGAUCAUGGGCUGUCAGAAUUUUCCAUCCUGUUCUUAUUUUAUGACAUGUUAAACUGUGAAGAAAAGUACUUCAAAGCUCAGAAACAAGAGGCUGCUCUUCGUCGGUGACUCAAUCAAUAGGAACAAAUUGGUCUCCCUGGUGUGCAUGCUCGAUUCCUCCAUUCCUAAGAACAUAGGAGGCAUGCAUAACACUUUCUGUCAGCUGACUUAUACAAAUUCUGGUCGUCGCUGAUACUGGAAUCAAGCAACAACAUUCUGAUAAUCUACCGGAUGGAGUACCAGAUCAUAAGGUAUAAAAUUAAGAAGCAUUCCAUUAUACAUAGAGGAACGGUGAAUCAGAAGGCCAAUAUGAGGAUGAAGGUCAUGUAUGCCUCAUUUGACGAUGGUGAUGCAAAGCUCGACGAAGUGAAGAUGGUCUAAGGUUUUGAGAUCUCUCUCAAGAAGCUAACUAAUUAGCUGGGAAUGAACAUCACCAAAAUGACUAAAAUCUAUUUCGCUGGCUCAUCGCCUAACCAUACUGGGAAAGCGUGUGGGGUGGAGACGACAACAAGGUGUAGCCGAUCCCGGAUGCUGGGGAUGAAGAGGUCACCACAGACUGCAGCAUGAUGGGCAAUGCUGGAGAUAUCUUCAGAACACUGAAGACGACGCCCCAGAUUGCCAACACCAGCUCUACGUGGGCUGUACACUUUGGUGUUUCACAGGUGCUAUUGGCAUAUGAAACUGAUGUCAAUCAGUGACGCCCAGUGUAUGAACUAACAAGAAAGAAAACUCUUGCAUCAUCAUUGUACUUCAUAAGCUACUUUUGACUGACUAUGAAAAAUAUACCCUCUAGAUGCAA